rnacentral:rRNA from 1 species
AGAGUUUGAUCCUGGCUCAGAACGAACGCUUGCGGCGCGUCUUAAGCAUGCAAGUCGAACGGCAUGAGGAAUGCUUGCAUUCCUCAGAGAGUGGCGGACUGGUGAGUAACACGUGGGUGACCUACCCUUGAGAUGGGGAUAGCCGUUAGAAAUAGCGGAUAAUACCGAAUACGCUCUACGAACUGUGGUUUGUAGAGGAAACAGGCUACGGCCUGGCUCGAGGAUGGGCCCGCGUCCCAUUAGCUAGUUGGUGAGGUAAGAGCCCACCAAGGCGACGAUGGGUAUCCGGCCUGAGAGGGUGUACGGACACAUUGGGACUGAGAUACGGCCCACACUCCUACGGGAGGCAGCAGCUAAGAAUAUUCCGCAAUGGACGAAAGUCUGACGGAGCGACGCCGCGUGGAUGACGAAGGCCGAAAGGUUGUAAAAUCCUUUUGCUGAUGAAGAAUAAGCGUGGUAGGGAAUGACCGCGUGAUGACAUUAGUCGGUGAAUAAGCCCCGGCUAACUACGUGCCAGCAGCCGCGGUAACACGUAGGGGGCAAGCGUUGUUCGGAAUUAUUAGGCGUAAAGGGCAGGCAGGCGGACCUGCAAGUUUUCUGUUAAAGACGUCAGCUCAACUGGCGCACGGCAGGAGAUACUGCAGAUCUUGAAUGCGGUUGGGGAAGACAGAAUUCCUGGUGUAGCGGUGGAAUGCGCAGAGAUCAGGAGGAAUACCAAAGGCGAAGGCAGUCUUCCAAGCCGUUAUUGACGCUCAACUGCGAAGGUGUGGGUAUCAAACAGGAUUAGAUACCCUGGUAGUCCACACAGUAAACGAUGAUCACUAGGUGUCGGUUUCGUAAUAGGAUUCGGUGCCGUAGCUAACGCGUUAAGUGAUUCGCCUGGGGAGUACGUUCGCAAGAAUGAAACUCAAAGGAAUUGACGGGGGCCCGCACAAGCGGAGGAACAUGUGGUUUAAUUCGAUGAUACGCGAGGAACCUUACCCGGGCUUGAAAUGCAGAUGACAGGCGGCGAGAACCGUUUUUCCUUCGGGACAUCUGUGUAGGUGCUGCAUGGUUGUCGUCAGCUCGUGCCGUGAGGUGUCGGCUUAAGUGCCAUAACGAGCGCAACCCUCAUCGUUAGUUGCCAUCAGGUCAAGCUGGGGACUCUAACGGGACUGCCAUCGUAAGAUGUGAGGAAGGUGGGGAUGACGUCAAAUCAGCACGGCCCUUACGUCCGGGGCGACACACGUGUUACAAUGGGUGGUACAAAGGGCAGCUACCGGGCGACCGGAUGCCAAUCUCUAAAACCACUCUCAGUUCGGAUCGGAGUCUGCAACUCGACUCCGUGAAGCUGGAUUCGCUAGUAAUCGCGCAUCAGCCACGGCGCGGUGAAUACGUUCCCGGGCCUUGUACACACCGCCCGUCAAG